AUUGAACGCUGGCGGCAUGCUUUACACAUGCAAGUCGAGCGGCAGCGCGGGGGCAACCCUGGCGGCGAGCGGCGAACGGGUGAGUAAUGCAUCGGAACGUGUCCCGUAGUGGGGGAUAACGCCGGGAAACCGGCGCUAAUACCGCAUAUGCUCUACGGAGGAAAGGGGGGACCCGCAAGGGCCUCCCGCUAUGGGAGCGGCCGAUGUCCGAUUAGCUUGUUGGUGAGGUAAAGGCUUACCAAGGCGACGAUCGGUAGCUGGUCUGAGAGGAUGAUCAGCCACACUGGGACUGAGACACGGCCCAGACUCCUACGGGAGGCAGCAGUGGGGAAUUUUGGACAAUGGGGGCAACCCUGAUCCAGCCAUGCCGCGUGCGGGAAGAAGGCCUUCGGGUUGUAAACCGCUUUUGUCCGGAAAGAAAAGGCAUUCCCUAAUACGGGGUGUUCUUGACGGUACCGGAAGAAUAAGCACCGGCUAACUACGUGCCAGCCGCCGCCGUAA
rnacentral:rRNA from 1 species